AUUGAACGCUGGCGGAAUGCUUUACACAUGCAAGUCGAACGGCAGCACGGACUCCGGUCUGGUGGCGAGUGGCGAACGGGUGAGUAAUGUAUCGGAACGUGCCCAGUCGUGGGGGAUAACGUAGUGAAAAUUACGCUAAUACCGCAUACGAUCUAUGGAUGAAAGCGGGGGAUCGCAAGACCUCGCGCGAUUGGAGUGGCCGAUAUCAGAUUAGGUAGUUGGUGGGGUAAAGGCCCACCAAGCCAACGAUCUGUAGCUGGUCUGAGAGGACGACCAGCCACACGGGAACUGAGCCACGGUCCAGACUCCUACGGGAGGCAGCAGUGGGGAAUUUUGGACAAUGGGCGAAAGCCUGAUCCAGCCAUUCCGCGUGCAGGAUGAAGGCCCUCGGGUUGUAAACUGCUUUUGUACAGAACGAAAAGGUUUCUACUAAUACUAGGAGCUCAUGACGGUACUGUAAGAAUAAGCACCGGCUAACUACGUGCCAGCCGCCGCCGCGG
rnacentral:rRNA from 1 species